rnacentral:rRNA from 1 species
AUUUGUCUGGUUAAUUCCGAUAACGAACGAGACCUUAACCUGCUAACUAGAUUCAUCAGUAUUACUCUUGAUAUCUUCUUAGAGGGACUAUGUAAAACAAAUACAUGGAAGUUUGAGGCAAUAACAGGUCAGUGAUGCCCUUAUAUGUCCUGGGCUGCACGCGUGCUACACUGAUGCAUACAACAAGUGCCUAACCAGACAUGGUAUGGCAAUCUCGAAUAUGCAUCGUGAUGGGGAUAGAUCUUUGCAAUUAUAGAUCUUGAACGAGGAAUUCCUAGUAAGUGCAAGUCAUCAUCUUGCAUUGAUUAUGUCCCUGCCCUUUGUACACACCGCCCGUCGCUCCUACCGAUACCGGGUGAUCCGGUGAACCUUUUGGACUCUUUACUGGGAAAGAUAAGUAAACCAUAUCACCUAGAGGAAGGAGAAGUCGUAACAAGGUUUCCGUAGGUGAACCUGCRGAAGGAUCA